UACAGAGGUCUCAAGCGUUGUUCGGAUUCAUUGGGCGUAAAGGGUGCGUAGGCGGCGCGGUAAGUCGGGUGUGAAAUCUCGGAGCUUAACUUCGAAACUGCAUUCGAUACUGCUGUGCUUGAGGACUGGAGAGGAGACUGGAAUUUACGGUGUAGCGGUGAAAUGCGUAGAUAUCGUAAGGAAGACCAGCGGCGAAGGCGGCAUCCUGGACUGGUCCUGACACUCAGGAGCGAAAGCGUGGGGAGCAAACAGG
rnacentral:rRNA from 1 species